ensembl:lncRNA
UGAAUUUUCAUUUUUUUUGGUAGCCAAACGUGACGCACCAAACGGAGCAAUUUCUCCUAAACAAAUAAUCUUUCAGGAAAAACUGAGCAUUUGCUAUCUAACUGAGAGUCUCCUCAUUGAAAACAUCUGAAGUUCUUCAAAGACAUGACCUGCUACGACCCGACUGCAGAUGCCGCGACUAUCGCAUCGGAACCCCAUGAUGCCGAUGCUGAAGCAACUAACGCUCCAUGCCAAACAACUAUGGACUCUAAAGUGUAUGUGGUGUCCAGUACCAUCGUUGGGCCGCGGGUGUGAAAGAUUCAGCAGACUGCUUGUAUUACACAUCUGGCUAAAAGACUACUGUAGCUCUGCUGGAGUCCCUUUUAUCGAUAGCUUUGACACCUUCUGGAAACAGAAGAUACUCUACCGGAAUGACGGAGUCCAUCCAAGUCAUCUUGACUCCUGGACUCUCUCCACGCAUUUCAAGGCUGCGUUGAAACAAUGACUGGUAAAUUAUCUAGAAAAGUGCUAAAAAUAGCCCAUAUUUACAUAUGUAGCCUAAGAAACAAGGUCCAUGAGGUCAAUAACUUGCUUGUAACUGAUGACAUUCAUAUUCUCACUAUCUCUGAAACUCACUUAGAUAAUAUGUUUGACGAUACAGUGGUAGCAAUACAUGGUUAUAACAUCUACCGAAAAGACAGAAAUGCCAACAGAGGCGGUGUUGUGGUCUAUAUUCAGAACCACAUUCCUAUAAAGCUUAGAGAAUAUCUAAUGUUAAAUACUAUUGAAGUUAUAUGGCUACAGGUUCAUCUGCCUCACCUAAAGCCCAUUACUGUGGGAAGCUGCUAUAGACCACCAAGUGAUAACAGUCAGCAUCUGGAUAAUAUGUGUGAAAUACUUGAUAAUGAAUGUGAUAUCAACAGAGAAGUAUUUUUUCUGGAUGAUUUAAAUAUUGACUGGCUAUCAUUAAGCUGCCCACUCAAGAAAAAAAUUAAAACUGUAACCAGUGUCUGCAACCUGGAUCAGGUUAAAUUAUUGGCUGUUUUUUGUAGUCUUUAAUUGCUAAAAAUC